GGCCGGGAGUUCUGCCGAAUACAAUACCCGCAAGGGGAAUAGGCAAAGCGGUCUCGUAGAGCCGUUGUCACCCUCCCGGUCGCCUUCUC
rnacentral:ncRNA from 1 species